GUGCUAGCUUCUACAGCACAUAUACUGAAAAUGGAAUGAUGCAGAGAAGGUUAGCAUGGCCCCUGCCCAAGGAUGACAUGCAAAGUUGUGAAUAGUCCAUAUUUUUC
rnacentral:snRNA from 1 species